rnacentral:misc_RNA from 1 species
AAGUCGUAACAAGGUUUCCGUAGGUGAACCUGCGGAAGGAUCAUUUCCGAAAAAAAAACAAACAAAAACUAUAUCAACCCACAGUGUGCUUGGUUUUGGGUUUCCUUUUUUUUUUACUCUUUCAUGGAUAUAUGUGUGCGUUUCGGAUAUGGAGAUGUAUAUAUAUACACAUACACAAAAGGUGUUAGGGUUUGCAUGUGGCAACAUGUGCUACCCCCCCCACCGAUUGUGUGUGAUUGUGUGUGCAUCUCUAUUGACAAGGCAUAUAUACACCAUGAGAGAGGCCUUGAUGAACUACCUCUGUGUUCUCUCAUAUACAUAUACAUAUAUGUGAGCGCAUAAGGUUGAUGUACCAUGUAGUGAUACUUUUUUACAACAGUAAAAAAAUAUAAAUUAUACAAUGAUACGACAACUUUUAACGGUGGAUCUCUUGGCUCGU